rnacentral:tRNA from 1 species
UAGGCAGAGGCCUGUUGGUUGGGGCAUGUAGCUGUUAACUACAGAGUCAUGGGAUCGAAGCCCAUCUGUCUAG